ensembl:lncRNA
CCCUUCACCCACCCUUCUGCCUGCUCACGGUACUAUUAAGUUGUCAAUCACACAUUACUGUAGUAUGGAUUCAAUAUCUCAGUAUCAGCAGGAGCAGAUCAAUGAGCACCUGCAGAGAGGAAAUGUGUAUGAAACACCGGAGGAUGUGACCCCCCCCCCCGCCCACCCCAGUGUGUCAACAGGUCUGUGAGCCAAUGCAAACCAUCCACCCCACUCAAGAGCAUUUAUUGCAUCCAAGUGGGACAAAGUAGGACGAGAUUAUUCAGACCGCAAUGCAAAUAAGUGAGUUCCCCCCGGCGGCUGAGUGCAGGAUGGGACUAACAAUGGAAAAGGGCUCCGGCAGGCUGAGCCUAAUCUCUGCAUGUCGAGAGGAGCCGUGACAUGUCAGAUCCUGCAACGUCUAUUUUCUCACAGCAACACCUCGGUUCUCUCAGGGACAAGCAGGCACAGGCACACGGGCCCGCGGUACUCCACCGCUAAUAACAGAAGCUGGAAUCAAGCCAUGGGAAAAAGAAAUCGGUAACACUGUUUUCCAGCCAGCCAUGAAGUAAUCACUCCAAUUCUCGUAAAUGGCCUUUCUGGUCUUGUCUGCUCUAUUGGCUGCAGCACAAUAGGGAUUUACUUUGCAGAAUAGUGCUGUGUGAUUGUGAUCAGAGGAAUUCGCUUGGAAAAUCUAAAACCAUUUGAAAACCUCUUCUCAGAACAAUGUGCAAAUAUAUUGCAUCAAAUAUAAAAUGACAAAAAGAGAAAAAGUUAAAUUAUAUCAAAUGUAUCAAAUGUUCCAAAGGUCCUGAAGAUUAGAAGCCAGUAUUUAUGGACACAAGUUCCACUGAAAAUGUGAUCAAAUGAACGCUUCCAUUCACACUGGAUUACUGAGCAACACGUUUUAAAUGAACAUGUAAGAAAAUCUGCCGAUAUCUUAUUAAAUUCCCGCUGGGUUCCGUCACAGAGUCGUUCCACUACUCACCGUUUGUCUCAGGGUGACGUCGUUGUCGGGCUCUCGUGUGAUUUCCCGUCAUGUAUCAGGUUCCAUGUAGACAAAAGGUAAUUUCUGUCUCAUCACAGUGCAUUUUUUCAUUAUUUGCAGUAAAUUGCAAUCUAAAAAGUUCAAAGACAACAUCAUAGACAAACUCUCACAACAGAUAACAUCAUGGUAGCAAGCUGUCACUCACAGCAAGCCCCGCCCUGAAGCAUCCCCCGCUUUAUGGUCUGUUCGAGUCUAAUUGGACCAUAAUUUACAAGAUAAACAUCAUUGGGUAUUGAUUUGAAACUAGAGGUUGACAUUUACAACAUUUACUGAGGGAAUGAAUCAAGAGAGAAGUCAUUUUUUCUUCUAUGGGACCAGAGGAGUCGCCCCCUACUGGUCACCACAGAGAAUGCAGCUUCAAGUCAGGAAGUCAAAAUUUUCAACGUCUAUUAAAAAGUCUGUAAGCGUACUUUGACUUCCUGCCACAAAUCUUGGCAUGAGAUUAAGUAACUGAAAGAGUGUGUUAUGCAACGCUGCAUAACUGGCGCUGAGUGUGACUCACCGCCGUGAUAAACUCCAUAGUUGGUCUUAAAGUAGCGAUGCCUUGUUUGUUUGCCCCGGGGACACUUAUCACCAGUCAGUUCCCAGGUGUCUGGGUGUUGUGCAUUCUUCUUUACGAUGAUGCUUAUGCGUCUGUAGGUCUGCUGGAUUCUCAGAAUUAAGAUUUCGGUUUUAAUAUGGAUUCUCAGAACCCGACACGGUCUUUCUCAGAAUUAGACCUCCCCACUCGGGACACCUGGUAGCCAAGGUACACAUCCAGGAAACACCUCCUUACCAAACAUUAGUUGUUUGUUUAAAAGCUUUGACGGACCACGUGGAUCUUUUUUUAUUCAAAUAAAGUGUGCAGGGAGGAAGGAGGACAACGUACACAAAGCAUUUCCCCACAAAUGCUUGCAACUGCAUUCGUUGAAUUAUGCCCACAAUUAGACAUGUACCUUUGGUGAUGCAGACAAAGGGAUUGAACACAACAACCUUCAUAGAUCUGGUGAGAUUCUUAUGGGCAGCAGAACGUGAAACAAACAACAAAAGACCCUUUGAUACGUUAGUUAUCGCAUCCCGAAAUCAUGCGUGUCUCUGGCUCUGUCAUCCCUUCAGAGAAUUAUUGUUAAACACAGUAUUAUUUAUUAUUAAUUAUUAUACUACCUAAUGUUGUUUUUUUUAACGCCGAACCCUUUGUGUUGGAUGAAUUUAAUUUAUCAAAUGGUUCAUGAUGAGGUCUAUUUUCAAAGUUCUAAUACUUUAAAUAAGUUUUUAACAAAGUUCCCCAAUUAAAAGAAAAAAAACAUUUUCCACAAAUAACACGAGGGGCACAUUUCUUCCUGUUGUUGUUAAUGGAUGGACAUUUGUGUGUGUGUGUGUGUGUGUUACCAGUGCAUGUGUGCAUCCAAUCCGUAAUUGGUCCAUGCUGGCAGAGGCACCUGUAAGAGAUCCAUCUCCUCCGCAGCCGGACGGGCCAAGCGCCUCAGCAUCUCCCAGAUGGACCUCACAGCGAGCGGGCUGCCCGUGCAAACCUCCCCCCCCCCGCCUCUCACCAGCGGAUGGUGCCUCACAGGCGGAACGUCGUUCCACAUUAAUCCCAAUAAAGGGGCCUUACCCAGCGACGACCAGGCAGGGACGUUUCUCCGCUGUUUGGUUUGUGGACGGAGGAAUCAGCCUCUCGUGCCAACAAUGCCUUCUUCUUCUCCUUAUAGAGCGGAGGGUUGGACAUUUAGUGUCUGCCUGGAGAGGAAAAUGACAGUUUAACUACAGAAAAACUGGAUUUAAAACGUUGUAAUAUUUUUGAGAUCAACUUGGCAGCUUUCUUUAUCAUCAGCGUUUGUCAUCAGUUACUUGCUGCGGUUCCCUCUCAUUCACUCCAGACAUCUCCUAAUCUUGUGAGAUAGUAAUCUUUACUCCUAACGCACUCCAAAAGAUUAAUUGAGUAAUGAAUUAUGUGAUUUCUGAUCAGGAUCUGAAUGGAACACAAACAAAAAAACGGCACGUCCGGUUGCAUCAUUUUGAAUAUAAAUUUUCUGAGAAAUGGUCCCAGAAAUAACGGGUGUUUGAGAAAUGUCUCAAUGACUAAAUGGACUAUUUGGACAUACGGUUGGAGGGAGCAAGGAGCCGAGAGGACAUACGGGUGGAGGGAACAAGGGGCCAAGAGGACAUACGGUUGGAGGGAACAAGGGGCCGAGAGGACAUACGGUUGGAGGGAACAAGGGGCCGAGAGGACAUACGGGUGGAGGGAACAAGGGGCCGAGAGGACAUACGGGUGGAGGGAACAAGGGGCCCGAGAGGACAUAAGGGUGGAGGGAACAAGGGGCCGAGAGGAAAAAAGCUGUUAGGCCUAAAUGUGAUUCUUGUUUUUUCCUUGAGGUGUGUCAAACAUCACAAUAAAAUGUUAAUUGUUGGCCGACGGCAAACUUAAUUAAUAACCCCACAAAUUCUUCAACACAAGGAUUUGACGGGUUUCAACAGCCCAGAACCUGGAGGAGAGACAGAGACUUUGUCCUUCUGCAAAAUGCCAUGAGUCAGCGUGCAGAGCUUCGCCCUCACAGCGCGCUAUGAGAACAUAACAGGACACACAAUGAAGACGUGGGCAACCAAUUAAAGGUACAUGUUGCAGACAGAAUGAAUGAGCAGCCUCCUGUUACGCAAGGCAGCCCUGCAAAACAUGCAGCAACUGCCAGUGUAAGACCCCAGCGGUGUGUGUGUGUGUGUGUGUGUGUGUGUGUGUGUGUGUGUGUGUCUUACGGCUUCAGCAUGAUCGAAUUAGCCAGAAGAGAACACAACAGCAGAAAAUCAAAGUAAGAUGGGGAAAAAGAAGCACGUGGAAUAAACAGACCAAAAGAAGCUCUGACUUGUGCGUGACGAUAGAAUGGAAAACGGACUAAAAAGGAACAGAGAAAAAGAGGGUUAUGCAACUUUGUCCUUGAGAAGCUGGGCCAAAACUUGACUCGGCAUUCCUCGCUACUACGACCGCAGAGAGUCUUCUCAUGCAACGGAUUAAGCGGCGCUCAAGCAGGAGAGCAGGCGAUGCAUCCCGCUACCUGCAGUGAAGCGCCUCGCUGCACCUUGUGUAUACAGCCUGCAGACUGCGAGUAGCGGCGACCUCUUUAUGUCACUUCGGGCGUCUGGGCUUGUAUUUGUCGCCUUCUUUGUCAGAUUUCUUGGAAAUCUGACUUGGAAAGUCAGACGUCUCGCUCUGCGUUUCCAGGAAGACGCACGCUGAGGAGUCUGGUCUUGAGAUGAACAAUUCAGUUGCACAACCUCCGAACUCUUUUCAAAAUCAGCAAAAAUUGUUUUUCCUUUUAAGGUUUUUGUAUAAUUCAGCUUUGGCUCAUUUCAAGAGAAUAGUCAGCGCUGUGCUGCAUCUUUGUGCGGCGCGAGAGAACUUGAUUAAAUGGACUUCCUGUAAGGGGAAGUCUGCUUUUUGUACAGACUCAAACAUCUGAUGACGCAAACAAGAUCAAACUCUUUUGGUGAGGCCGACUUUCUCAAAAAAGGGAACAUUAACCAUUUAUAAGGAAAUCACACUUUUUUUUGUUUUGUUAGUCAUACAUACCAGUAUAAAUGGAAUUGUCCAUUUUUAAACUAAGAUUACAACCUCAUGGUUGUAUGUCCAUCCAGUCACAGUGCAGCAAACAUCCACGCCUCAAAUAUCUGACCUUAAACUUUGACCUUUUUGAGUCGAUGUUUUUUUUUAAAUGCUUUUAAAAAAGGACAGUGAUGGUCUGUGAUGCGAGUGACUAACUGGAGGGCCGGGAUGUUCUCGUAUGCACCGACAUGGAGGGAAAGACCUUCCAUCAGACACUACAUUGGCCUCAAUCGGCUUUCCCCGCAAAUCUGCCGCGCGAUCACGGCACGUUCCGGGGGGCCCGAAUGAAGCUUCGCCCGGUCUGUUUAGCGUUGUGAGUGUUGAACGCUCUGCAGAAGUAACGGCGUGUUUUUCAUGUGUGUGUCUUCUGAGACGUAAAUGUCAAGUGGAUGAGGUGGAUCUAUACGGCAGGUGUGAGAACAGCUUGAGGCGCGUGUCAUUAGCCCGCCACCGGUGUCACUCCGUCCUGCGCCGGCCCGACCUGGCACCAUCCGUGCGCCAUCCAUGCACCACAUGCCACACACACACACACACACACUCCUCUAUUUCAAGUGUGUGUAUUUGCUGCGAAAUUGUUUAAUGCGGCCCGAGCGCUGGCCUCCGCUCGCGACUGUUGAACUGAUUAAGGAGGAACCCCGAGCGGACUCCAUCGGGAGCUGGCUCCACUUGGUUUUCAUCUGACAUUUACUCAAGCUGCCCGCGAUGACAUCAGGCACUCGGAGUCAUUUCGGAGUAUCGUCCUGCUCGUUAACCCGUAGAUUGUCUGCGAGGUCUCUGCUUUCACUCCACUUCGCCGCCGGCGUCGUGAAGGCUGAACAAACACAAAAUAAUGCUUCGUCCUGCACAUUGAAGGCAUUGUGAAAGGCGCAAGAAGAGGUGUUGAAGUGCGUCGUCUCCAGCAUCCGCCGCUCGUGAACACGCAAGAGUCAACGUGAGCGGCUUCGGCACUGGCAUCACACUGCAUUGUGGGUAACGCUGCGUGACACGACCACGGGAGGCAGAAAAACGGAACGUCCCACCCGUGGACGCGUGCCUUUUGGGGUGAUUUAACAAGGUAAACGUUACUCGAUGCUAAUUAACAACUAUUGAUGCUGAUUAAUGUGCAUUAAAAGGGCCGUAAAUGUUUAAUUAGCGUUGCUCGCAGCAAACGGAAACCCCCUCGGUGGUUUUACCUUGGACUAAUUUAUGUGCCUUCAUUAGGGAAGUGAAAAGACGUGGGUGGGCUCGAUAGCUUGGCACCGCCUUGAAUUUAUCUGCAUGUAUUUUAGUGAAAAAUGAGAUUUAUGCUUUAACUUUGAACAACUAAAACGUUGCUCACUAGGCGUCAAAGACCAGCCGGCUUCACCUCAUUUUUGCUUAGAAGGCAAAAACUUCUGCUCGUCCGUCCGUCCGUUAUCUUUGGCCGCUUAUCGUGUUCAGGGUUGCGCAAUAGGUCAAAGUAGAGGUCACACUUGUGGAGUGUGGGGGGGGGGGGGGGGGGGAGCCGGAGAACCCGGAGAGAACGUGUAAGCGGUUCUGGCCACCACAUCGACCCUUGACCCCCCCCCCCGACUCAGAGGUUUGACUUCAUUCAGAUGAAAUAUUCAUGUUCAUGAUGACGUCGACUGUAAAAGGGUCUAUAAAAACCAAACGGGCCGUCAAAGGUUUAGUGACACGAAGCGUAUCGCACAGAACCACACACACGCACACGCACACACACACACACACGAUCCCCAGAGCCUAAGAUAGAGUCCAUUACUUUGGAAUGCCACACCGCUUCGCCCCCAAACACGAGAUUGAACUCGGACCUGGCCGGCCGGGCCCGAACCGGCGUGAGUCACACGCCAACCGGCAUGAUUGCCUGGUUACCCGCGCGGCUGCAGCGACUGCAUGUCGAAGGGCAGAGUGACUCACAGACGCACAAGAUUACCCCCACAUUAAAAACCCACAGCUUGUGUAAAUACGGCUCUGUUGUUCCCGCUGAGCUCUCUCAUUCACGGUUGCCGUGGCGUGAUUCAUGCACACAUGUGACCGGGCGGGCACCGCGGCGCUGGAGCUGCAGAGCUUGUGCCUCGGUGUGGGGGGCCGGGGGGG